ensembl:snRNA U6 U6 spliceosomal RNA
UAUCUCUGCUGAGAUAAAUUAGGUAAAAUGCUGCAGUUGGAACACUACAGAGAUCAGCAUGGUCCCUGCCCAAGGAUGAAACAGAUUUCUAAAGCAUUCCUUAUUUUU